UACGGAGGGGACUAGCGUUGUUCGGAAUUACUGGGCGUAAAGCGCACGUAGGCGGAUUUGUAAGUCAGGGGUGAAAUCCCGGGGCUCAACCUCGGAACUGCCUUUGAUACUGAAGAUCUUGAGUUCGGGAGAGGUGAGUGGAACUGCGAGUGUAGAGGUGAAAUUCGUAGAUAUUCGCAAGAACACCAGUGGCGAAGGCGGCUCACUGGCCCGAUACUGACGCUGAGGCACGAAAGCGUGGGGAGCAAACAGGG
rnacentral:rRNA from 1 species